rnacentral:rRNA from 1 species
GACGAACGCUGGCGGUGUGCUUAACACAUGCAAGUCGAACGGUAAGGCCCUUUCGGGGGUACACGAGUGGCGAACGGGUGAGUAACACGUGAGUAACCUGCCCUCAUCUCUGGGAUAACAGUCGGAAACGGUUGCUAAUACUGGAUAUGAGCUUGCAAGGCAUCUUGUGGGUUGGAAAGAUUUUUUUUGGUUGGGGAUGGACUCGCGGCCUAUCAGCUUGUUGGUGAGGUAGUGGCUCACCAGGGCUUCGACGGGUAGCCGGCCUGAGAGGGCGACCGGCCACAUUGGGACUGAGAUACGGCCCAAACUCCUACGGGAGGCAGCAGUGGGGAAUAUUGCACAAUGGACGGAAGUCUGAUGCAGCAACGCCGCGUGCGGGAUGACGGCCUUCGGGUUGUAAACCGCUUUCAAUUGUGACGAAGCUUUUUUGUGACGGUAGCAGUAGAAGAAGCACCGGCUAACUACGUG